AAAAACAUGUCCUUUAGAGUUUAAUUAAAGGUCUAACCUGCCCGGUGAUAAACUUAAACGGCCGCAGUAUUCUGACUGUGCGAAGGUAGCAUAAUCAUUUGUCUUUUAAUUAAAGGCUAGUAUGAAUGGUUGGACGAGGAAUUAACUUUCUUUAUUUAAAUUUUGUGAAUUUGAUUUUUGAGUCAAAAAGCUUAAAUUUUUUUGCAAGACGAGAAGACCCUAUAGAAUUUUAUUUUUAAUUUAAUGUUAGUUAUUUUGUUAUUUGAUUAAUUAAUAUUAAAUUAAAAAUUUUGUUGGGGCGACAAUGAAAAUUACUUAACUUUCAUUUAUUCUUUUUCAUUAAUUAAUGUUUAUUUUUGAUCCUUAAUUUUGGAUUAAAAGAUUAAAUUACCUUAGGGAUAACAGCGUAAUUUUUUCGGAGAGUUCUUAUCGAUGAAUAAAGUUUGCGACCUCGAUGUUGGAUUAAAGUAAGUCUUAAAUGCAGUAGUUUAUAGGACUAA
rnacentral:rRNA from 1 species